AGCGGUGGAGCAUGUGGUUUAAUUCGAAGCAACGCGAAGAACCUUACCAGGUCUUGACAUACCAUUGACCGUUCUAGAGAUAGGAUUUUCCCUUCGGGGACAAUGGAUACAGGUGGUGCAUGGUUGUCGUCAGCUCGUGUCGUGAGAUGUUGGGUUGAGUCCCGCAACGAGCGCAACCCCUGUCGUUAGUUGCCAGCAUUCAGUUGGGGACUCUAACGAGACUGCCAGUGACAAACUGGAGGAAGGUGGGGAUGACGUCAAAUCAUCAUGCCCCUUAUGACCUGGGCUACACACGUGCUACAAUGGUUGGUACAAAGAGAAGCGAAGCGGUGACGUGGAGCAAACCUCAUAAAGCCAAUCUCAGUUCGGAUUGUAGGCUGCAACUCGCCUACAUGAAGUUGGAAUCGCUAGUAAUCGCGAAUCAGAAUGUCGCGGUGAAUACGUUCCCGGGUCUUGUACACACCGCCCGUCACACCACGAGAGUUUACAACACCCGAAGUCAGUGGCCUAACCGCAAGGAGGGAGCUGCCUAAGGUGGGGUAGAUGAUUGGGGUGAAGUCGUAACAAGGUAUCCCUACCGGAAGGUGCGGCUGGAUCACCUC
rnacentral:rRNA from 1 species